rnacentral:ncRNA from 1 species
GCUAGCACGUUGAAGGGAAAUAGUAAUAAGACUCUUAUCUUUAAGAGAGCUAGUGGUUGGUGCAAACUAGUAGAUAAAGCUUAUGAAUCCAUCCUGGAGUGAAUUGUUGAACAAUGCAGUAGGCAAUUGCGGUGUUAAACCGUUAUUUUAUAAAGUGGUAAGAGACAUCAGUCUCUUUCAACUAGGGUGGCAACGCGGGUAACUCUCGUCCCUUAC